UAAUUUGCCAAAAUCAGCUUUAACCUCACCUAAUCCAGCUAACCAAUCCUAUCCCAAUACUAGGUCGAUUCCCUUUAGAGUGAAGAGGUAAAAAUCUUGAACCACCUCCAAUUGUUGUAUCUGGAAGGACAAUUGCGCACAGUUCCUCUUACACUUCACUUUAUGUCCAUCUCCUACCUCCACCAUGUAAGAAGGAGUAUCCUGCACCACCAGACUCAACUUCCUCACCAAUUUGUUGGCAUGAAGUUAUGAGAAGCCCCA
rnacentral:lncRNA from 1 species